rnacentral:rRNA from 1 species
GACGAACGCUGGCGGCGUGGAUUAGGCAUGCAAGUCGAACGGUAUCAUCCUUUCGGGGGUGAGAGAGUGGCGAACUGGUGAGUAACACGUAGGUUAUCUACCCUCAAGACGGGGACAACCCAGGGAAACUUGGGCUAAUACCGGAUGUGAGCAACUUUUAGUUGUUUGAAAGGUGGCGUAAGCUGUCGCUUGGGGAUGAGCCUGCGUCCUAUUAGUUAGUUGGUGAGGUAACGGCUCACCUAGGCAAUGAUAGGUAGGCGGCCUUAACGGGUGGUCGCCCACACUGGGAUUGAGAUACGGCCCAGACUCCUACGGGAGGCAGCAGUCGAGAAUAGUCUACAAUGGUCGGAAGACUGAUAGUGCGACGCCGCGUGAGCGAUGAAUCCCUUCGGGGUGUAAAGUUCUUUUAUAUGUGAGCAGUGCUUCUUAUAUUAACAGUAUGGGGAGAGAGAUAUUAGCAUAUGAAUAAGCAACGGCUAACUCCGUGCCAGCAGCCGCGGUAA